rnacentral:snoRNA from 1 species
AUCCCAGGUGAGCUUGUUCUGGGUGUUCAUCUGAUUCAUAGGAGGCCGAAACUAAUGAUGGUAGUUUCGCUGGUAACACCCUCUUUUCCUAUAGGGGGCAUUCCAUUAGUAGCUUUCCAUACAUAA